rnacentral:rRNA from 1 species
UUGCCGGCGACCGGCGCACGGGUGAGUAACGCGUAUCCAACCUUCCGUACACUCAGGGAUAGCCUUUCGAAAGAAAGAUUAAUACCUGAUGGUAUGAUGAGAUUGCAUGAUAGCAUCAUUAAAGAUUUAUCGGUGUACGAUGGGGAUGCGUUCCAUUAGGUAGUAGGCGGGGUAACGGCCCACCUAGCCAACGAUGGAUAGGGGUUCUGAGAGGAAGGUCCCCCACAUUGGAACUGAGACACGGUCCAAACUCCUACGGGAGGCAGCAGUGAGGAAUAUUGGUCAAUGGACGAGAGUCUGAACCAGCCAAGUAGCGUGAAGGAUGAAGGUCCUACGGAUUGUAAACUUCUUUUAUAAGGGAAUAAACCCUCCCACGUGUGGGAGCUUGUAUGUACCUUAUGAAUAAGCAUCGGCUAACUCCGUGCCAGCAGCCGCGGUAAUACGGAGGAUGCGAGCGUUAUCCGGAUUUAUUGGGUUUAAAGGGAGCGCAGACGGGUCGUUAAGUCAGCUGUGAAAGUUUGGGGCUCAACCUUAAAAUUGCAGUUGAUACUGGCGUCCUUGAGUGCGGUUGAGGUGUGCGGAAUUCGUGGUGUAGCGGUGAAAUGCUUAGAUAUCACGAAGAACUCCGAUUGCGAAGGCAGCACACUAAUCCGUAACUGACGUUCAUGCUCGAAAGUGUGGGUAUCAAACAGGAUUAGAUACCCUGGUAGUCCAC